rnacentral:rRNA from 1 species
UACAGAGGUCCCAAGCGUUGUUCGGAAUCACUGGGCGUAAAGGGUGCGCAGGCGGCCCGCCAAGUCAGAUGUGAAAGACCGGGGCUCAACCCCGGAACGGCAUCCGAUACUGGCGGGCUCGAGGGUUUGAGGGGAGUCGGGAAUUCACGGUGUAGCAGUGAAAUGCGUAGAUAUCGUGAGGAAGACCGGUGGCGAAGGCGCGACUCUGGAAAACUCCUGACGCUGAGGCACGAAGGCUAGGGGAGCGAACGGG